GAGACGGAUUCGUGUCAGUUGCUAGAGAAGAACGAAACGACCGUCAGCAGAGGAGGAGGUGUCAUCGGAGGUCUUGAUCAAACAAAGAGAAAUAAGGUGGCGGCCUCAGGAGUCAUCUCUGCUUGCCACAGAAAUUGCAGGAAGAGGAGGAGAAAAUGGAGGGUUCUCUGGAGAAGAUGAGAUGACCUCAUCUUCUUUGGAGAACCUUUCAGUUUUUUCUCCUCUUCCUGCAACUUUUCGUUCCAAGCAGAGGCGACGGCCUCGCCACCUUGUUUCUCUUUUUUCACGACCUUCGACGCUUCCUCUGACGACGAUGGCGGUCGUUUCGUUCUUCUCCAGUAAUUGACCUGAAUCCAUC